rnacentral:rRNA from 1 species
CCGCGGUAAUUCCAGCUCCAAUAGCGUAUAUUAAAGUUGCUGCAGUUAAAAAGCUCGUAGUUGAAUUUCGGGGUCAAUAUGUUGGUCGUGCCUUGGUACGUACUAGCUUAUUGAUUUCUCCUUUCUGACGAACCAUGAUGUCAUUAAUUUGGUGUCAUGGGGAAUCAGGACUGUUACUUUGAAAAAAUUAGAGUGUUUAAAGCAGGCUCGCGCUUGAAUACAUUAGCAUGGAAUAAUGAAAUAGGACAUUUGAUUCUAUUUUGUUGGUUUCUAGGAUCGAUGUAAUGAUUAAUAGGGAUAGUUGGGGGCAUUAGUAUUCAAUUGUCAGAGGUGAAAUUCUUGGAUUUAUUGAAGACUAACUACUGCGAAAGCAUUUGCCAAGGAUGUUUUCAUUAAUCAAGAACGAAAGUUAGGGGAUCGAAGACGAUCAGAUACCGUCGUAGUCUUAACCAUAAACUAUGCCGACUAGGGAUCGGAUGAUGUUAAUUUUUUAAUGACUCAUUCGGCGCCUUAC